GCCCGCAGGGUGAGUAAAGCGGCGCACGGGUGAGUAACACGUGGGUAAUCUUCCUUGGAGCCCGGAAUAACUCCCCGAAAGGGGUGCUAAUGCCGGAUGAGACCACGGGAUCUCCGGAUCCUGAGGGAAAAGGCGGCCUCUGUACACAAGCUGUCACUCCAAGAUGAGCCCGCGGCCCAUCAGCUAGUUGGCGGGGUAAUGGCCCACCAAGGCAUCGACGGGUAGCUGGUCUGAGAGGACGAUCAGCCACACUGGAACUGAGACACGGUCCAGACUCCUACGGGAGGCAGCAGUGGGGAAUUUUGCGCAAUGGGCGAAAGCCUGACGCAGCAACGCCGCGUGUGUGAUGAAGGUCUUCGGAUCGUAAAGCACUGUCGGGAGGGACGAAUAAGGCGGCGGCUAAUAUCCGCAGCCGAUGACGGUACCUCCAAAGGAAGCACCGGCUAACUCUGUGCCAGCAGCCGCGGUAAUACAGAGGGUGCAAGCGUUGUUCGGAAUUAUUGGGCGUAAAGCGCGUGUAGGCGGCCUUGCAAGUUGGGUGUGAAAGCCCUCGGCUUAACCGAGGAAGUGCGCCCAAAACUACAGGGCUUGAGUACCG
rnacentral:rRNA from 1 species